UGGGGAAUAUUGAACAAUGGGGGCAACCCUGAUCCAGCAAUGCCGCGUGAGUGAAGAAGGCCCUAGGGUUGUAAAGCUCUUUCACCCGUGGCGAUGAUGACGGUAGCGGGAGAAGAAGCCCCGGCUAACUCCGUGCCAGCAGCCGCGGUAAUACGGAGGGGGCAAGCGUUGUUCGGAUUUACUGGGCGUAAAGGGCGUGUAGGCGGCGUCGUCAGUCAGGCGUGAAAGCCCCGGGCUCAACCUGGGAACUGCGUUUGAUACUGCGAUGCUUGAGUCCGGGAGAGGUGAGCGGAAUUCCCAGUGUAGAGGUGAAAUUCGUAGAUAUUGGGAAGAACACCGGUGGCGAAGGCGGCUCACUGGACCGGUACUGACGCUGAGGCGCGAAAGCGUGGGGAGCAAACAGGAUUAGAUACCCGCGUAGUCC
rnacentral:rRNA from 1 species